rnacentral:ncRNA from 2 species
AAUAUUGUGAUGAAUUUUGGUGUUCCGAUCUUUUUCAAGAUCGGAAUGAAAAGGGAAUCCGGUGGUUCAGUAAAAUGAAAAUUCCGGAGCUGUACCCGCAGCUGUAAGUCCAUUUUCCUGUUCAAACGGGAAUGUUUUGAGAAACUCUUGCCACUGUUCCGAUGCCUCGGGAUGGGAAGGCCUCAAAACAGGAUAAGCCAGAAGACCUGCCAGAUUCAUUUUUAUCAU